rnacentral:rRNA from 1 species
CUUAACACAUGCAAGUCGAACGGAACCUUCGGGUUUAGUGGCGGACGGGUGAGUAAAGCGUGAGAAUCUGCCUCCAGGUCGGGGACAACAGUGGGAAACUGCUGCUAAUCCCGGAUGAGCCUAAGGGUAAAAGAUUUAUUGCCUGGAGAGGAGCUCGCGUCCGAUUAGCUAGUUGGUGAGGUAAGAGCUUACCAAGGCGACGAUCGGUAGCUGGUCUGAGAGGACGAUCAGCCACACUGGGACUGAGACACGGCCCAGACUCCUACGGGAGGCAGCAGUGGGGAAUUUUCCGCAAUGGGCGAAAGCCUGACGGAGCAAGACCGCGUGCGGGAGGAAGGCCCUUGGGUCGUAAACCGCUUUUCUUAGGGAAGAAGCUCUGACGGUACCUAAGGAAUCAGCCUCGGCUAACUCCGUGCCAGCAGCCGCGGUAAUACGGAGGAGGCAAGCGUUAUCCGGAAUUAUUGGGCGUAAAGCGUCCGCAGGCGGCUUACCAAGUCUGCUGUCAAAUACCAGAGCUCAACUCUGGGUCGGCGGUGGAAACUGGCAAGCUAGAGUACAGUAGGGGUAGAGGGAAUUCCCAGUGUAGCGGUGAAAUGCGUAGAGAUUGGGAAGAACACCGGUGGCGAAAGCGCUCUACUGGGCUGUAACUGACGCUGAGGGACGAAAGCUAGGGUAGCGAAAGGGAUUAGAUACCCCUGUAGUCUUAGCUGUAAACGAUGGAGACUAGGCGUGGCUUGUAUCGACCCGAGCCGUGCCGAAGCCAACGCGUUAAGUCUCCCGCCUGGGGAGUACGCACGCAAGUGUGAAACUCACACGAAUUGACGGGGGCCCGCACAAGCGGUGGAGUAUGUGGUUUACUUCGAUGCAACGCG